GCCAUCAGCUGUAUCACCCUGCAACUCUCCAAUAGCAGCCCAUUGAAGCUGAGCAGGUGUGAGCCCGGUCAGUACCUGGAUGGGAGACCUCCUGGGAAAAACUAAGGCUGCUGCUGGAA
rnacentral:rRNA from 1 species